rnacentral:rRNA from 1 species
GACGAACGCUGGCGGCGUGCUUAACACAUGCAAGUCGUACGGUAAGGCCCUUUCGGGGGUACACGAGUGGCGAACGGGUGAGUAACACGUGAGUAACCUGCCCACAACUUUGGGAUAACGCUAGGAAACUGGUGCUAAUACUGGAUAUGUGCUCCUGCUGCAUGGUGGGGGUUGGAAAGCUCCGGCGGUUGUGGAUGGACUCGCGGCCUAUCAGCUUGUUGGUGGGGUAGUGGCCUACCAAGGCGGCGACGGGUAGCCGGCCUGAGAGGGUGACCGGCCACAUUGGGACUGAGAUACGGCCCAGACUCCUACGGGAGGCAGCAGUGGGGAAUAUUGCACAAGGGGCGCAAGCCUGAUGCAGCAACGCCGCGGGCGGGAGGACGGCCUUCGGGUUGUAAACCGCUUUCAGCAGGGACGAAGCUUUUUGUGACGGUACCUGCAGAAGAAGCACCGGCUAACUACGUG